rnacentral:rRNA from 1 species
UACGUAGGGAGCGAGCGUUGUCCGGAUUUACUGGGUGUAAAGGGUGCGUAGGCGGCUAUGCAAGUCAGUAGUGAAAUCCAUGGGCUUAACCCAUGAACUGCUAUUGAAACUGCACAGCUUGAGUGAAGUAGAGGUAGGCGGAAUUCCCGGUGUAGCGGUGAAAUGCGUAGAGAUCGGGAGGAACACCAGUGGCGAAGGCGGCCUACUGGGCUUUAACUGACGCUGAGGCACGAAAGUGUGGGUAGCAAACAGG